rnacentral:rRNA from 1 species
GACGAACGCUGGCGGCGUGCUUAACACAUGCAAGUCGAACGAUGAAGCCGGAGCUUGCUCUGGUGAAUUAGUGGCGAACGGGUGGGUAACACGUGAGUAACCUGCCCUUGACUCUGGGAUAACUGCGGGAAACUGUAGCUAAUACCGGAUACGACCCUCGGAGGCAUCUCCUGGGGGUGGAAAGAAUUUCGGUCAAGGAUGGACUCGCGGCCUAUCAGCUAGUUGGUGAGGUAAAGGCUCACCAAGGCGACGACGGGUAGCCGGCCUGAGAGGGUGCCGGGCCCCACUGGGCCUGAGACACGGCCCAGACUCCUACGGGAGGCAGCGGUGGGGAAGAUUGCACAAGGGGCGCAAGCCUGAUGCAGCAACGCCGCGUGAGGGAUGACGGCCUUCGGGUUGUAAACCUCUUUUAGCAGGGAAGAAGCGAAAGUGACGGUACCUGCAGAAAAAGCACCGGCUAACUACGUGCCAGCCGCCGCAGUAA